rnacentral:lncRNA from 7 species
CCAGAUCUUUAUAAGUGUAUCGGGGAGAAAUGUAUAAAAUCCCGCACGGCGGCGGCGGGGCGGUGCGGCGCGGCGGGGAAGCGCUCGCCCGGACCGUAGGAACAAUGCCAACAUUGAAGCCCUCGGUUGGAGUCUGCACAGUUGGAGAUCUUUGGUGCCAUUUUAGACAUCUUUGGAUUUCAUCAAUCAAACUGACUGCAAUUUUCCAUAAAAACCCUGAAUUUGGGUCAGAAAGUGGGCAAAGCAGAUAAAGAUCGCUCGAGCUGUCUUAUAAGAUGAUAAAUAGAUAUCCUUUCAGU